rnacentral:rRNA from 1 species
UACGUAGGGUGCAAGCGUUAAUCGGAAUUACUGGGCGUAAAGCGUGCGCAGGCGGCUUUGCAAGACAGAUGUGAAAUCCCCGGGCUUAACCUGGGAACUGCAUUUGUGACUGCAUGGCUAGAGUGCGGCAGAGGGGGAUGGAAUUCCGCGUGUAGCAGUGAAAUGCGUAGAUAUGCGGAGGAACACCGAUGGCGAAGGCGGCUUCCUGGACCGACACUGACGCUGAGGCGCGAAAGCUAGGGGAGCAAACGGG